AGUGAACGCUGGCGGUAGGCCUAACACAUGCAAGUCGAACGGCAGCACAGUAAGAGCUUGCUCUUACGGGUGGCGCGUGGCGGACGGGUGAGGAAUACAUCGGAAUCUACUUUUUCGUGGGGGAUAACGUAGGGAAACUUACGCUAAUACCGCAUACGACCUACGGGUGAAAGCAGGGGAUCUUCGGACCUUGCGCGAUUGAAUGAGCCGAUGUCGGAUUAGCUAGUUGGCGGGGUAAAGGCCCACCAAGGCGACGCUCCGUAGCUGGUCUGAGAGGAUGAUCAGCCACAGUGGAACUGGGACGCGGUCCAGACUCCGACGGGAGGCAGCAGUGGGGAAUAUUGGACAGUGGGCGGAAGCCUGAUCCAGCCAUACCGCGUGGGUGAAGAAGGCCUUCGGGUUGUAAAGCCCUUUUGUUGGGAAAGAAAAGCAGCAGGUUAAUACCCCGCUGUUCGGACGGUACCCAAAGAAUAAGCACCGGCUAACUUCGU
rnacentral:rRNA from 1 species